rnacentral:rRNA from 1 species
GACGAACGCUGGCGGCGUGCCUAAUACAUGCAAGUCGAGCGAAUCGACGGGAGCUUGCUCCCUGAGAUUAGCGGCGGACGGGUGAGUAACACGUGGGCAACCUGCCUAUAAGACUGGGAUAACUUCUGGAAACCGGAGCUAAUACCGGAUACGUUCUUUUCUCGCAUGAGAGACGGUGGAAAGACGGUUUACGCUGUCCCUUAUAGAUUGGCUCGCGGCGCAUUAGCUAGUUGGUGAGGUUAUGGCUCACAAAGGCGACGAUGCGUAGCCGACCUGAGAGGGUGAUCGACCACACUGGGACUGAGACACAGCCCAGACUCCUACGGGAGGCAGCAGUAGGGAAUCUUCCGCGGUGGACGAAAGUCUGACGGAGCAACGCCGCGUGAACGAAGAAGGCCUUCGGGUCGUAGAGCUCUGUUGUAAGGGAAGGAUGGCCAAGAGAGGGAAUGCUCUUGGAGUGACGGUACCUUACCAGAAAGCCACGGCUAACUACGUGCCAGCCGCCGCGGUAACAC